rnacentral:rRNA from 1 species
AGAGUUUGAUCCUGGCUCAGAUUGAACGCUGGCGGCAGGCUUUACACAUGCAAGUCGAGCGGGGAAAAAUAGCUUGCUACUUUACCUAGCGGCGGACGGGUGAGUAAUGCUUAGGAAUCUGCCUAUUAGUGGGGGACAACAUCUCGAAAGGGAUGCUAAUACCGCAUACGUCCUACGGGAGAAAGCAGGGGACCUUCGGGCCUUGCGCUAAUAGAUGAGCCUAAGUCGGAUUAGCUAGUUGGUGGGGUAAAGGCCUACCAAGGCGACGAUCUGUAGCGGGUCUGAGAGGAUGAUCCGCCACACUGGGACUGAGACACGGCCCAGACUCCUACGGGAGGCAGCAGUGGGGAAUAUUGGACAAAGGGGGGAACCCUGAUCCAGCCAUGCCGCGUGUGUGAAGAAGGCCUUUUGGUUGUAAAGCACUUUAAGCGAGGAGGAGGCUACCGAGAUUAAUACUCUUGGAUAGUGGACGUUACUGCAGAAUAAGCACCGGCUAACUCUGUGCCAGCAGCCGCGGUAAUACAGAGGGUGCAAGCGUUAAUCGGAUUUACUGGGCGUAAAGCGCGCGUAGGUGGCCAAUUAAGUCAAAUGUGAAAUCCCCGAGCUUAACUUGGGAAUUGCAUUCGAUACUGGUUGGCUAGAGUAUGGGAGAGGAUGGUGGAAUUCCAGGUGUAGCGGUGAAAUGCGUAGAGAUCUGGAGGAAUACCGAUGGCGAAGGCAGCCAUCUGGCCUAAUACUGACACUGAGGUGCGAAAGCAUGGGGAGCAAACAGGAUUAGAUACCCUGGUAGUCCAUGCCGUAAACGAUGUCUACUAGCCGUUGGG